rnacentral:rRNA from 1 species
UACGGAGGGUGCAAGCGUUAAUCGGAAUUACUGGGCGUAAAGGGUGCGUAGGUUGUUAGAUAAGUUAUCUGUGAAAGCCCCGGGCUCAACCUGGGAAUUGCAUCUGUGACUGUAUAGCUAGAGUACGGUAGAGGGGGAUGGAGUUCCGCGUGUAGCAGUGAAAUGCGUAGAUAUGCGGAGGAACACCGAUGGCGAAGGCAAUCCCCUGGACCUGUACUGACGCUCAUGCACGAAAGCGUGGGGAGCAAACAGG